rnacentral:lncRNA from 1 species
GAGAUUUUGUAAAUAAGCAGUGAAUUUAUUGUUCUGAUUUGUUUGAAAUUAUAAUAUUUGGCCUACUAAAUACGUAAAUAAUGAAAUAGAUUUAGUUGAUUGCACACAACAGACAAAGAGUAUAGAAAUAUGCAUCCAGGGAAUAAGCAGGUGAUCAAAGUUUUUUUUGUUUUUAAAGGCUACUGUAGUUUUGAGUCUCUUGUACAAGUUCUUGCAAGGCUAAAUUUGCUAACAUUAUUUUUGCCCUUGACUCUUCAAUGACAGAUGACAGAUGUUGUAAGUUAGGAAAACUUUCCCUGCAGUAACCUUUUAUUAAUGGAUCAUAAUGGUGGCAGAAGCAUAACUCUUGUGACAUUCAAGAUGAUGAGCUAAGAAACAGGACAGAUUUGAGAUGUGUAUUGACAAAUGAUGAGAAAACUGUUAUGCUCUCCUUACUACACCCUUACUGAACCUGAAGAGAAAAGGUUGAUAGGUUUGAAUAGCAGUUCUAGUAUUGUGUUCUUCUUCUGCAACUCUCAAAAGGCCUUUGCAAAGCUGAGACACAAAGUCAACAGAGACAAAGCAUAA